UUGCAUCCACUGAUAGACCUGAAGCAGGUUUCGUUGGCUUUUGGGUUUGCAUAGAGAUGCUAAAGAAAACAUCCUUGCGCUUUCUGACUGCUAAGCUCCAUAGCAGCACAGAUUGAAUUGAGGAAUACAUAU